rnacentral:rRNA from 1 species
ACUGCUAAUACCGCAUAAGCCCACGGCUCGGCAUCGAGCAGAGGGAAAAGGAGUGAUCCGCUUUGAGAUGGCCUCGCGUCCGAUUAGCUGGUUGGUGAGGUAACGGCCCACCAAGGCGACGAUCGGUAGCCGGGACUGAGAGGUUGAACGGCCACAUUGGGACUGAGACACGGCCCAGACUCCUACGGGAGGCAGCAGUGGGGAAUAUUGCACAAUGGGGGAAACCCUGAUGCAGCGACGCCGCGUGGAGGAAGAAGGUCUUCGGAUUGUAAACUCCUGUUGUUGAGGAAGAUAAUGACGGUACUCAACAAGGAAGUGACGGCUAACUACGUGCCAGCAGCCGCGGUAAAACGUAGGUCACAAGCGUUGUCCGGAAUUACUGGGUGUAAAGGGAGCGCAGGCGGGAGAACAAGUUGGAAGUGAAAUCCAUGGGCUCAACCCAUGAACUGCUUUCAAAACUGUUUUUCUUGAGUAGUGCAGAGGUAGGCGGAAUUCCCGGUGUAGCGGUGGAAUGCGUAGAUAUCGGGAGGAACACCAGUGGCGAAGGCGGCCUACUGGGCACCAACUGACGCUGAGGCUCGAAAGUGUGGGUAGCAAACAGGAUUAGAUACCCUGGUAGUCCAC